UCUGUCGUUGCCGCUGACAGAAUCAGAUUAUUAUUCUAAGUGUCUGACUACAUCAUGGAAAGGAUCCUUACAGAGAGACUUUUGUUAAAGAGUAAGACCCUUUUAGUUCAACAUGAAACACUCCCGAAAUCACCAUCACCAAACUCCAUCAGAUUCCAUACAAACA